rnacentral:rRNA from 1 species
UUUCACCGGGAGCUUGCUCCACCGAAAGAAAAAGAGUGGCGAACGGGUGAGUAACACGUGGGUAACCUGCCCAUCAGAAGGGGAUAACACUUGGAAACAGGUGCUAAUACCGUAUAACACUAUUUUCCGCAUGGAAGAAAGUUGAAAGGCGCUUUUGCGUCACUGAUGGAUGGACCCGCGGUGCAUUAGCUAGUUGGUGAGGUAACGGCUCACCAAGGCAACGAUGCAUAGCCGACCUGAGAGGGUGAUCGGCCACACUGGGACUGAGACACGGCCCAGACUCCUACGGGAGGCAGCAGUAGGGAAUCUUCGGCAAUGGACGAAAGUCUGACCGAGCAACGCCGCGUGAGUGAAGAAGGUUUUCGGAUCGUAAAACUCUGUUGUUAGAGAAGAACAAGGAUGAGAGUAAAAUGUUCAUCCCUUGACGGUAUCUAACCAGAAAGCCACGGCUAACUACGUGCCAGCAGCCGCGGUAAUACGUAGGUGGCAAGCGUUGUCCGGAUUUAUUGGGCGUAAAGCGAGCGCAGGCGGUUUCUUAAGUCUGAUGUGAAAGCCCCCGGCUCAACCGGGGAGGGUCAUUGGAAACUGGGAGACUUGAGUGCAGAAGAGGAGAGUGGAAUUCCAUGUGUAGCGGUGAAAUGCGUAGAUAUAUGGAGGAACACCAGUGGCGAAGGCGGCUCUCUGGUCUGUAACUGACGCUGAGGCUCGAAAGCGUGGGGAGCGAACAGGAUUAGAUACCCUGGUAGUCCACGCCGUAAACGAUGAGUGCUAAGUGUUGGAGGGUUUCCGCCCUUCAGUGCUGCAGCAAACGCAUUAAGCACUCCGCCUGGGGAGUACGA